ACGCACGCUGGCGGCGUGCUUAACACAUGCCAGUCGAACGGAAAGGCCCCUUUGGGGGUACUCGAGUGGCGAACGGGUGAGUAACACGUGAGUAACCUGCCCUUGACUUCGGGAUAACUUCAGGAAACUGGGGCUAAUACCGGAUAGGAAUCCUUGCUGCAUGGUGGGGGUUGGAAAGCUUCGGCGGUUUUGGAUGGACUCGCGGCUUAUCAGCUUGUUGGUGGGGUAGUGGCUUACCAAGGCUUUGACGGAUAGCCGGCCUGAGAGGGCGACCGGCCACAUUUGGACUGGGUUACGGCCCAGACUCCUCCGGGGGGCAGCAGUGGGGAAUCUUGCACAAUGGGCGGAAGCCUGAUGCAGCAACUCCGCGUGCGGGAUGACGGCCUUCGGGUUGUAAACCGCUUUCAGCAGGGGCGAAGCUUGUGGUGACGGUACCUGCAGAAGAAGCACCGGCUAACUACGUG
rnacentral:rRNA from 1 species